AUUGAACGCUGGCGGCAUGCUUUACACAUGCAGGUCGAACGGCAGCGCGGGCUUCGGCCUGGCGGCGAGUGGCGAACGGGUGAGUAAUGCAUCGGAACGUGCCCAGUAGUGGGGGAUAGCCCGGCGAAAGCCGGAUUAAUACCGCAUACGACCUGAGGGUGAAAGCGGGGGACCGAAAGGCCUCGCGCUAUUGGAGCGGCCGAUGUCGGAUUAGCUAGUUGGUGGGGUAAAGGCUUACCAAGGCGACGAUCCGUAGCUGGUCUGAGAGGACGACCAGCCACACUGGGACUGAGGCACGGCCCAGACUCCUACGGGAGGCAGCAGUGGGGAAUUUUGGACAAUGGGGGCAACCCUGAUCCAGCCAUGCCGCGUGCGGGAAGAAGGCCUUCGGGUUGUAAACCGCUUUUGUUCGGGAAGAAAUCCUCUGGGCUAAUACCCCGGGGGGAUGACGGUACCGGAAGAAUAAGCACCGGCUAACUACGUG
rnacentral:rRNA from 1 species